AUGGAUGCAUAUACACCUAUGAGCCAAAAUCACGAGUCUCUCUUAGAUGCUCGUGGGAUUGGAGUUGUAUUCUAUCCUAAGCUCCAAGUGGUGCAUCUGCAGGCGCCCAACCUCUGCUCUUGUUCCGCCCAGUUUAGCUCCCUGCCGUUCCAGUUCUCACUAGUUUGGCUCCCCGCCGACCUUGAUUCUGGAGCAAAGCCCAAUCACAAGCCAAAGCCUGCCAUAGAAGCUAAGAUAGUAGCUUUUCUCUCCCCACCCUCCACCCCGAAUCGGCGCUCGCCCGUCUGCAGCAUGGCGCGGUACUUUGAUGAUGAGAAACCUCCAACUUCAGAUGCAGGUACGGAGAACAACGUUGGGAUUGGGCUAGUGAGGAUGAAAAGGCCGGCCUAUGGCAAGAAAGAGGUGGCGCUGACAGCUGACUCCGUUGCGGUCAUGGUGGAGCUCAACGCCACAUCCUCCGCCAUGGCGAGGGAGGGGCUCGAUCUGGUGGUCGUGUUGGACAUACAGCUUAGCUGGGAGGGAGGGGAUGUCAAGUUCUCAAAGGUUAAGGAGGCGAUAGAGUUCUUAAUCAUGAAGCUCACCCCCAUGGAUCGUCUCUCCAUGGUCUUCGGAAAGGAUACCGCCGGCGUCGAGCGCCGUCUCUGCCCGCUGAGAUGCAUGACUCGAGCUGGCCAGGCCGAUCUCAAGGACCUCAUCAGCGCCAGCGGCCAGGACAACCUUUCUCUGAACCUCGAGAAGGGCUUGACUGAAGCGUUGGCCGUUAUCCGCAGCCGCAUCCACACAGAAGGCCGCUCCGCCAACAUCAUCUUCUUAACCGACGACAGAGAAGGCACUGGUGACGCUCUCUCAGUCGAUCCCGGCAAUGUCGCUGUCCACACGUUCGGCUUCGGCAAAAACGCAGGCAUUGAGGUAGGUGCUACUCCGGCCGGCACAACAAAUUGCUACGUUUUUACUACCUCCGUUCAAAAUAAGAUUCAUGGUAUUAGUUUAGAUAAUGGUUUGAACUAA
rnacentral:rRNA from 1 species